GAAGAGUAGGGCGGGACACGUGGUAUCCUGUCUGAAUAUGGGGGGACCAUCCUCCAAGGCUAAAUACUCCUGACUGACCGAUAGUGAACCAGUACCGUGAGGGAAAGGCGAAAAGAACCCCGGCGAGGGGAGUGAAAAAGAACCUGAAACCGUGUACGUACAAGCAGUGGGAGCACCUUCGGGUGUGACUGCGUACCUUUUGUAUAAUGGGUCAGCGACUUAUAUUCUGUAGCAAGGUUAACCGUAUAGGGGAGCCGCAGGGAAACCGAGUCUUAACUGGGCGUUAAGUUGCAGGGUAUAGACCCGAAACCCGGUGAUCUAGCCAUGGGCAGGUUGAAGGUUGGGUAACACUAACUGGAGGACCGAACCGACUAAUGUUGAAAAAUUAGCGGAUGACUUGUGGCUGGGGGUGAAAGGCCAAUCAAACCGGGAGAUAGCUGGUUCUCCCCGAAAGCUAUUUAGGUAGCGCCUCGUGAAUUCAUCUUCGGGGGUAGAGCACUGUUUCGGCUAGGGGGUCAUCCCGACUUACCAACCCGAUGCAAACUACGAAUACCGAAGAAUGUUAUCACGGGAGACACACGGCGGGUGCUAACGUCCGUCGUGAAGAGGGAAACAACCCAGACCGCCAGCUAAGGUCCCAAAGUCAUGGUUAAGUGGGAAACGAUGUGGGAAGGCACAGACAGCCAGGAUGUUGGCUUAGAAGCAGCCAUCAUUUAAAGAAAGCGUAAUAGCUCACUGGUCGAGUCGGCCUGCGCGGAAGAUGUAACGGGGCUAAACCAUGCACCGAAGCUGCGGCAGCGACACUAUGUGUUGUUGGGUAGGGGAGCGUUCUGUAAGCCUGCGAAGGUGACCUGUGAGGGUUGCUGGAGGUAUCAGAAGUGCGAAUGCUGACAUAAGUAACGAUAAAGCGGGUGAAAAGCCCGCUCGCCGGAAGACCAAGGGUUCCUGUCCAACGUUAAUCGGGGCAGGGUGAGUCGACCCCUAAGGCGAGGCCGAAAGGCGUAGUCGAUGGGAAACAGGUUAAUAUUCCUGUACUUGGUGUUACUGCGAAGGGGGGACGGAGAAGGCUAUGUUAGCCGGGCGACGGUUGUCCCGGUUUAAGCAUGUAGGCUGGUUAUCCAGGCAAAUCCGGAUAAUCAAGGCUGAGGUGUGAUGACGAGGCACUACGGUGCUGAAGUAACAAAUGCCCUGCUUCCAGGAAAAGCCUCUAAGCAUCAGGUAACAUCAAAUCGUACCCCAAACCGACACAGGUGGUCAGGUAGAGAAUACCAAGGCGCUUGAGAGAACUCGGGUGAAGGAACUAGGCAAAAUGGUGCCGUAACUUCGGGAGAAGGCACGCUGGUGUGUAGGUGAAGUCCCUGCGG
rnacentral:rRNA from 1 species